rnacentral:rRNA from 1 species
CCUUUCAACGAUGGACCUCUGGGUUCCCGCAACGAUGAAGAACGCCGCGAAACGCGAUAUGUAAUGUGAAUUGCAGGAUUAAGUGAAUCAUCAAAUCUUUGAACGCAAAUUGCUGCUCGGGGUCUUGCACCUCGAGCAUACUCGGUUCAGACUCGUUCUCCAAAAGCGACUAUGCUUCACAGAGGACGCUGGGCGUUGCGCCUUGAAAGCUCAUCGCCUCAAGAGUCGUAACGUUGCGCCGCCUGUGUCACUCUUUCGUUGCAGCGCCCGCAUUCGAUGCGCCGGGGAGUAUAUAUAUAUGUAUUUCACAGCGCUUUGAUUUACCACGUCGAACGCAUUCCAGGGGCGCCCGAUCACACACACGGCCGACACACAAUAUACCACACAAGAGCUGAACUCGAGCAAGAGGACCCGCUGAAUUUAAACAUAUUAAUAAGCGGAGGAAAAGAAACUAACCAGGAUUCCCUCAGUAACGGCGAGUGAAGCGGGACCAGCUCAAUGUGAAAAGCUGCGCGUGCUUGUUCGCGCGCCGCGUUGUAGCCUGGGCAGGCGGCCCCACGGGCGUCGGGUGCAAUUCGUUGUUGAGAUAGCGAGCCGGAGAGGGUAAGAGCCCCGUCCCGUCCGAACCGCCCCACCUCGGGCCGCCCGCCAGUGAGUCGUGUUGCUUGGGACUGCAGCGCUAAGCCGGUGGUAAUGUCCAUCGAAAGCUGAAUAUUUGCGGGAGACCGAUAGCGAACAAGUACCGUGAGGGAAAGAUGAAAAGAACUUUGAAAAGAAAGUGAAAAGUGCGCGAAAUCGUUGGAAGCAAGCGUAUCAGUGCGGCUCUGCCCUGGGGGCCUUCGCGCCCCCCGCGGCAGGCACGAUGGGCCCGGGCCCCGCCACCAGGCGCGCCACAUAUAGCCCUUUCGAGGCGCGGCCGUCGCCGGGCGGGCCCCGGGUCGAGGAGAUCCGACCACCGGCGCGCCCCGCGUUUUUUCAUAAACGCCGCGCGCCCAGGAUCGUGCCGCUUCGCCGGACUGAUCCGACCCGUCUUGAAACACGGACCAAGGAGUCUAACAUGCGAGCGAGUGUCCGGGUGGCAAACCCCGACGCGCAGGGAAACCGAGCAGGUGCCCGAGCCUUAUCAAACGGGCGCACGGCAGGCCGCGCGAUGUGGGUCCUCCCCGUUGCCGAGCAAGAGCUCGUAUGCUGGGACCCGAAAGAUGGUGAACUAUGCUUGUGCAGGGUGAAGUCACUGGAAACUGUGAUGGAAGCUCGAAGCGAUACUGACGUGCAAAUCGUUCGUCUGACAUGAGUAUAGGGGCGAAAGACUAAUCGAACCAUCUAGUAGCUGGUUCCCUCCGAAGUUUCCCUCAGGAUAGCUGGAAUUCGUCGGCGAGUUUUAUCAGGUAAAGCGAAUGAUUAGCGGAAUCUGGGAUGAAACAUUCUAGUCCUAUUCUCAAACUUUAAAUGGGUAAGAUGCGGGGGUUGCUUAGCUGAACCCUUGCGUUGAAUCAGAGUUCUUAGUGGGCCAUUUUUGGUAAGCAGAACUGGCGAUGUGGGAUGCUCCAGACGCUUGGUUAAGGGGCCAAAGUUCUCGCUCAUUCCGAUACCAUAAAGGGUGUUGGCUGAUACAGACAGCAGGACGGUGGCCAUGGAAGUCGGAACCCGCUAAGGAUCGUGUAACAACCCACCUGCCGAAUCAGCUAGCCCCGAAAAUGGAUGGCGCUCAAGCGAGACCCCGAAACCGGGCCAUUCGGGCAGAUGCGACGCCCGGAUGAGUAGGAGGGCGCGGGGGUCGCUGCGAAGGCGCGGGCGCGAGCCCCGCUUGGAGCGGCCCCUGGUGCAGAUCUUGGUGUUAGUAGCAAAUAUUCAAAUGGAAACUUUGAAGGCCGAAGUGGAGAAAGGUUUCACGUGAACAUCAUUUGGACGUGAGUGACUCGGUCCUAAGGCAGUCCGUAUGGGGUUCAGAAGGCGCGCUUCCUUCAGUCGCGCCGAGAGCCGAAAGGGCAAUCGGUUAAGAUUCCGAUAGUGGGACAGGGGGCUGGGCGGCGACGCGUUCAAACCCGGCGACGGUUGCCUGGGCCCCGGGAAGAGUUAUCUUUUCUUUUUAACACCGCGCUCGCCCCUGAAAUGGGAUUAGCCCUCGAUAGGGGGGGGCGCGUGGCAGAGCGGCUGACUUCCUCAGCCGUCCGGUGCGCUCAGGAGGCUCCUUGAAAAGCCGGGGGCGUGCAUGCCCCCCGUCCCAGCCGUACUCAUAACCGCAUCAGGUCUCCAAGGUUAACAGCCUCUGGCCGAUAGAACAAUGUAGGUAAGGGAAGUCGGCAAAUUGGUUCCGUAAGUUCGCGAUAUGGAAUGGCUCAUCAGACUGGGUGGUAGAGGCUCGGUUCAUGAAGCUUGCUAGCCGGCGAGACUGGCUAGCCGCCCCUCGGGGUGGCAGGCCGGGCUUGCCCGGUGGGCUCGUGGAGGAAUCGAGACAGCCGGCGUGCCGGCGCCCUGCGGUUCGCCGCUUGGGGGUCACGCCGUGUCGCCGCGCGUUCUCGCCGCAACGAACAGUCAAUGAUGAACUCGUAGUGACCACGGGAACCCGACUGUUUAAUUAAAACAAAGCAUUGCGAUGGUCGCAAGUCGAUGUUGACGCAAUGUGAUUUCUGCUCAGUGCUCUGAAUGUCAAAGUGAUGUAAUUCAAUCAAGCGCGGGUAAACAGCGGGAGUAACUAUGACUCUCUUAAGGUAGCCAAAUGCCUCGUCAUCUAAUUAGUGACGCGCAUGAAUGGAUCAACGAGGUUCCUACUGUCCCUAUCUACUAUCUAGCGAAACCACAGCCAAGGGAACGGGCUUGGGAGUAACGGCGGGGAAAGAAGACCCUGUUGAGCUUGACUCUAGUCUGACA